GCCUUUGAAACCUCUAAAUUGUCAUAUUUUUGGGAAAUUUUCCCUGUUUCCCUGUUCUGCUGAAAUAAUUAAAAAAUAUAAAUUUAUAUUACGAAAAUCCUGGCAGUAUAAUUAAUAAUACAUAGCCAAAGUCUAGGCCUAUACUAAAUCGUGGAUAUAAUAAAACAUACAACUUUAAAACACAAGUUUACAAGCUAACAAUAACAGAUGUUGCCAUUUAAGCUGUACAGCCAACAACGGAUAAUCUCAAAUCACCAAUGUGAUUGGUCACUUUAUCCAUGUUUAUCACUGAAGGCCAUGGAAAUUAACAAAGGUGCUUUUUUGAAUUCAGUUAACUGAAAUUUGUUAGUGAAUUAGAGCUCUUUCUCAGUGCACAUUCAUGAUGAUAAAACAGGCAUAACCAUACUUUCUGAAGUAUUUCAGCAGUACCAAUUGAAUUUGUUGGUAAAGGAAUUUUUCUCAGUGAAAACUCAUGAAGUAAGAAAGCGUUGAUGUUUGUUUAAAGCCUUAAUGCGGCAGUUGGAGAAACAGGAAAUUACCUGACUUUCAAAGCAUGUGAAGCAAGGGUGAAAAUCCGAAGCCAUCUUGAUUCAAUAUUUCAAACUUAGUUUGGUCAUUCUGCAGAAUCUUUGAUGAAUGGCAUCUUUCAGCAAGAUUUAAAUUUACUCUGCUACCAUUGGACAAGAAAAAGCACGGAUAUAGACAGCUCCGGUUUCAAUAUCAUACAGAAAAUAUCUGGUUUAUACACACCUGUAACGCGACAGAUUCUUGAACAGGGUUUUGUAUAAUAAACUCUAGUUGACGCCUUAAUAUAAAUUACAGAAAAAAAAAACUGAUUUGAAGACUGUAAAGCAUUUAGGUACUGCUGGAAUUUGAGGUACGUGCAUCAGUAAGGCUUAAGACGAAUAAUAUUAUGUGAAGGGGUGUGCAGUUUAUGCAUAGUUGAUGUUUUUAAUUAAAGAAAUCAUGGUUUGUA